GUAAAGUAACUGCUUACCAUGGCUACGAUGUCUAGGGGUUCUGAGAGGAAGGUCCCCCAAACUGGAACUGAGACACGGUCCAAACUCCUACGGGAGGCAGCUCUGAGGAAUAUUGGACAAUGGAUGGAAAUCUGAUCCAGCCAUGCCGCGAGCAGGAAGACGGCCCUAUGGGUUGUAAACUGCUUUUGUAUGGGAGCAAUACCGGCUACAUGAAAUCCGAUGAGAGUACCAUACAAAUAAGCACCGGCUAACUCCGUGCCAGCAGCCGCGGUAAUACGGAGGGUGCAAGCGUUAUCCGGAUUUAUUGGGUUUAAAGGGUGCGUAGUGCGGUUUGAUAAGUCAGCGGUGAAAUAUUUCAGCUUAACUGGAAGGGUGCCGUUGAUACUGUCCAUCUUGAAUUUAGUUGCUGUGGGUGUACUGUGUGGAGUAGCGAUGAAAUGAAUAGAUAUCACACACAUUAUCGAUUGCGAAGGCUUCUCACACUGCUAAUAUUGACGCUGAUGCACGAAAGUGUGGAGCAUCAAACAUGAUUAGAUACCCUGGUACUCCACACUGUAAACGAUGAUAACUCGCUGUCGGCGAUACACAGUCGGUGCCCAAGUAAAAGCUAUAAGUUAUCCACCUGGGGGAGUACGACCGCAAUGUUGAAACUUCAAAGGAAUUGAACGGGACCCCGCCACAACCGGAGAAACAUGGUGGUUUAAUUCGAUGAUCCCCGAGGACCCUAACCCGGAGUUCAAUCGCUGCUUAAAUAGAUCAAAGAUGAUUUACUCCUUCGGAAAUGUAUCGAGUGCUGCAUGUGUCGUCAG
rnacentral:rRNA from 1 species